GCAAACUUGGUCAUUUAGAGGAAGUAAAAGUCGUAACAAGGUCUCCGUUGGUGAACCAGCGGAGGGAUCAUUACAGAGUUAAUCCAAACUCCCAACCCUUUGUGAACCAUAUCGUCGUUGCCUCGGCGUGAGCGGCGGCCACCCAGAGCAGCUACCCUGUAACUGCCGGGAGCAUCUACCCUGUACUUGGGAGCACCUACCCUGUAGGAGCUACCCUGUAGUUGGGAAGAGCUACCCUGGAGAUGCAGAGCAGCUACCCUGGAGCUGCAGACAACGCCCGCCGGAGGACCACUAAACUCUUGCAUUACCACGUAUUUCUGAAUGCUUCAACUAUAAAUAGUUAAAACUUUCAACAACGGAUCUCUUGGUUCUGGCAUCGAUGAAGAACGCAGC
rnacentral:misc_RNA from 1 species